CCUACGGGGGGCAGCAGUGGGGAAUAUUGGACAAUGGGCGAAAGCCUGAUCCAGCCAUGCCGCGUGUGUGAAGAAGGCCUUCGGGUUGUAAAGCACUUUCAGUGGGGAAGAAAGCCUUGGGGCUAAUACCCUCGAGGAAGGACAUCACCCACAGAAGAAGCACCGGCUAACUCCGUGCCAGCAGCCGCGGUAAUACGGAGGGUGCGAGCGUUAAUCGGAAUUACUGGGCGUAAAGCGCGCGUAGGCGGUCUGAUAAGCCGGUUGUGAAAGCCCCGGGCUCAACCUGGGAACGGCAUCCGGAACUGCAGGCUAAGGGGCAGGAGAGGAAGGUAGAAUUCCCGGUGUAGCGGUGAAAUGCGUAGAGAUCGGGAGGAAUACCAGUGGCGAAGGCGGCCUUCUGGACUGACACUGACGCUGAGGUGCGAAAGCGUGGGUAGCAAACAGGAUUAGAUACCCGUGUAGUC
rnacentral:rRNA from 1 species